UACGUAGGGUGCAAGCGUUAAUCGGAAUUACUGGGCGUAAAGCGUGCGCAGGCGGUGAUGUAAGACAGGGGUGAAGUCCCCGGGCUUAACCUGGGAACUGCAUUUGUGACUGCAUCGCUGGAGUGCGGCAGAGGGGGAUGGAAUUCCGCGUGUAGCAGUGAAAUGCGUAGAUAUGCGGAGGAACACCGAUGGCGAAGGCAAUCCCCUGGGCCUGCACUGACGCUCAUGCACGAAAGCGUGGGGAGCAAACAGG
rnacentral:rRNA from 1 species